AAAGAAGUGAAGUGAGUCGAUCAAUUCCAUCUCUAGGUCGUGGUUCAAGAUUGAGCUCCAUUACGGGCGUCCGUGGGUCGAUGCACUGGACAGCACGUGCGGUACGGUCAGGGUGAUCGGAUGGGACGAUACGGACGGUCUGAUCAGCACGAUCCAAUGGGAAAUUAUGAUCAUCAUGGACGGAAUGAUCAGAUAGACUUUCACAGGCAGCAAGACUGGCAUGAUCCGACAUGAUAACCUCGGUUUGGUCGAGCUGGUUGACAAGAAAGCCACCUUGGGCCGUAUCCAUGAUUCGAGCCGGUCGAUGCUCGAUCUGGGUCACAUCAUACUCUCCCUCUUCAAAAGGAUUUGUCCUCAAAUCCAUUUUACCUGAAUCAAAAUAAAAUGACUCAGACAAAAAGAAUUUUAAAAACAUGUAAAAUUUAAUGAAGGAUAAAUUUGGAGAGAAACUUCCUUGGAGUUUUGAACUUGUUUCCCUCAAGUAUUUCCAGUUCCAUGUUCCAAGAUCACAAGUGUUGUGUCGACCUUCUCUACUUGCUUCCAUCUUUGGUUCAUGGAGGAUCGGUUUUGGCUCAGGCCGCUUCUUUCUGGGGCAUGAAUCUCCUUUAGAAAUCUGGUACUCGCGGAUAGAUGGACUGAAGAACCUCCGGUUUGGAAAAUUCAUAACUUCUUCAUCCGUGAAGAUUUUCAUGAUUCCAAGCCUCAGUGAAUCCUUUUUGAGUUGGCUUUCCAAAGAAAUUGGAUUCAUGACAAAAGAUUUUCCGAAAUUCGAGAUAUCCGUUUUGGACUGAACCCCUGUCGCUGGCAUCUCCAAGGUAGCCGGUUUGGACAACAAAGCUUCUCCAAAUCUCAGGCUGUUGGGCACGGUCAAUGCUUUCAAUUCUUAGAGGCUGAACCUGUGUUUCCUGUAUACUCAAAAUAAACACUAAAAGACCAGGAUCAAAUGUGCAAGAGAGAUACUUGUUCAAAUCAAAAAUUAAGAUAUCAUUUCCAAGAACAAGUAGCACACUUUUCAGCCUGUCAAGAUGCAAAUCAAAGUAGACAUUACAGACAAGAAUCUUAUCAAGAUAUGCAACAACAUUAAUCAUUUCCAAAACGUGCAUAUCACAUCUGAACACACAAGCUUAAGUUCAGAUUGAGAAACAACUAUCAAAGACUCAAGACAUUUUUCAAAGAAUGUGUUGUAGACCAAUAUAUCAUCAACACUUGAAUCAACAAAAUUCUCACAAGAUGAUCUCAGAAAAUUCCAAGUUUUAUCAUUUUCAAAACUCAAGAGAUCAGGCUGCAAAACAGAAUCACAAAAAUCAAGUUCACAAAAACCAGUUUCAGUUUCAAGUGAAUUCUGUUCCAGCAUCUUUUUAAUUAAGAAAUCGUCCAAGUCCAGAGAAGAUGCAAACAAAUCAUCAGUGAUCAGUCUAUGCCUAGAAGAGUUCAGAUCAAAGCUAUUUUCUUUGAAAACAAACGAAUCAAAAAAUUUUGUAGCACAAAAAUCAGUUUGUUUCAAAUCAAGCUCAAGAUACUUUUCAAAAUGAUCAAAAACUUUGCUUUGUUCCAGGGACUGAUCAAAGCUCAAAAUAAUUUCAGAACUGAUGCCAAGGUCAGUUUGAAAACGUUGCUGAUCAAGAAAUUUAUCAGGUUCAAAGAUUUUAAAAGAAUUAAUCAUGUUUCCAAAAACAGAUUUUGAAAAACAAUUUUCUUUUAUCUUAUCAAGACCAAAACGAAUCACAUCAAGAGAACUGAUCUUAUCAAACAUGUCAGGCAGAGAAAUAACUAAUUCAGAUUUCUCACAGUGCUCUUGAAGAUCAGGAAGAAAAGGGGCAGGAGAUGAAGGAGCAGUAGUUGUGCCAGAAUCAAAGCAAAGAUGGCUCUCCAUAAAGGUGGAUAUGAUGCUUGUUGCUUCUUCGUCAAAGACUGGAUCAGGUUCGUCCUCCUCAUCAAAGAUAGGACCUAGAUCAUCAUCCAAACAUAUCCUAGUGUCAAGACAUGGGCACUGAUGUGGAAAAUCCAGUGGCUCUUCCUCAAAAACCUGUGGAGACAAAACAAGACUACUCGGAAGCUCCGUUUGCAAAACAGUUAGUUCUACAAUAGCUUGUUCAUUAUCAAGAUUAAACUCAGUUUCAAGAGAAGGAAGAUCACAAUCUUUUUCACAAAACAUCAAGCUUUCAAUUAGCUCUUCAUCAGAUUCAUCAAAAACGGGUAGAGAAUCUGAAAAAUCUUUAAGUUCUUCAAAAUGGUUUCCAGAUUCACCUUGGACUUUCUUACUGAUGAACAAGGAUGGCUCAGCUACUGGGGCACGUGUGGAUGUGCUCUUCUUUUGGCUCUUGCUGACGUCCUUGAGGGCUUUGUCCACACUCUUCACAAAGUUAUCACAAAAUUGUUGGACAUCAAACUGAAGCAAUCGCCUUCUUGGAUCAGAUUCACCUUUGGAUGUAUUGACAUGCUCUUUGCUCCACCUGUUUGGUUUCUCCUGCACAUCAACAAACUCAUCAAAAGUAUUCAAAGCAUAUUUAAAGGAGGUUUGAGAGACAGAAAGUCGUGGGUGCUUCUCCUUGUUACUUUUCCUUUGAAGACCAAACAUCAUAACCUGAAAAUCUCAACACAAAAGUUAGGAAAUAAAGCUUCACUCUCUCAAGUGUUUUAUUCUCACCUACUCAAGUGUUUCUCUCAGAUUUAGGUGAUCACACACAAGUUUUUACUCAAUGUUCUAAGAGAACAAAUCAAAGAAUCCCAAUGGGCAAAUCCAAGCAAACAAGGGAAUUUUUCAAGAUAGAAAAAUAAGAGAUUUUUUUGAUUUUUGAAAUCCGUUUUAACCACCUCAAAGGCUGGAUUUCUCCUCAGCCAGCAGGCUUUCUCUUCCACCACCAAUCCCCAAAUGAAACUUUCGAUUUCUAUUUUUUUUUUUUUUUUUUUUUUAAAGUAGAUUUUUUUUUUUUUUUUUUUUUGAUAUGGUGGAUGGUAAUGAGUGGCCCGGAUUCAAGAAAGGUAGAAGAAGAAGUGUUUAAAGAAGAUGGAGAGAUGAGAAGAUGGGAUGAUAAUAGAGUUACCGGAAGAGUGGCUCUGAUACCACUUGAUAGAACCAAAAUAAGGAUCACUCUUUCGGUAAGGUUGAUAUGAACUCAGAUCCGAGAGGAUUGAGAACUGAUGGUAUGAACGGUGACACUAAGGGUUGCGGAAUAGCCCAAAGAUACUACCAGACUUCGAUCGUUGCCGGAUGUGACGCACCGGUCCAACAAAAGAAGGAUCGAAACUUGGAGAUAACCUCACCAAGAAACUAAGAAAUGUUCUAACAAAGAACAAAGAGAUAAACUCAUAAAAGGGGAAAAACAAUCUAUAUUAUUUUGUGGCUUAUGAGCCAUAUAUAUAGGAUUUGUAGUCAAAGAAAGCCAUAAACAAUUAUGGGAAAUACAAACCUAGGAAAAGACAACAUUGACUAGAAAAUAAUAAAGGGAGUCAAAGUUGGUGAAAUUGAUGAAGACUGGUCAAAGUGACUUCUCCUCUUCUGUCCAGGUUCAUUCUGGUCGUGCUGGUACUUGGUGUAAGGAUCAGGGCGUGAUCAGGACGAUCCACACGGCCUGUCGGCUGAUUAACACGAACGGACUGAACUAUCGGACGAUCUGCUGAACCAAGUUGUGUACUGUUGUGAAACAAGUCUUUGGACAGCUCAAGUAUCCAUGCCUUAGUGAAAUAUGACAGAUAAAAAUCCAUCAUAGGGUCGGACACUGAAGCAAGAACUUUAGGACAGCCUUCGGGACACGCAUGACGCACCAACAAGGCCAUAAGAGAAAAUCUGUGAACAUCUUCGGAUUCUUCUCGUCCCAAGUUGAAUCUGGCUCGACUAUCAGUCUUAGAAUGUUGAAUUGGCUGGGAAAGAAGUGAAGUGAGUCGAUCAAUUCCAUCUCUAGGUCGUGGUUCAAGAUUGAGCUCCAUUACGGGCGUCCGUGGGUCGAUGCACUGGACAGCACGUGCGGUACGGUCAGGGUGAUCGGAUGGGACGAUACGGACGGUCUGAUCAGCACGAUCCAAUGGGAAAUUAUGAUCAUCAUGGACGGAAUGAUCAGAUAGACUUUCACAGGCAGCAAGACUGGCAUGAUCCGACAUGAUAACCUCGGUUUGGUCGAGCUGGUUGACAAGAACGCCACCUUGGGCCGUAUCCAUGAUUCGAGCCGGUCGAUGCUCG
rnacentral:lncRNA from 1 species